rnacentral:rRNA from 1 species
AAUGGAUGGAAAUCUGAUCCAGCCAUGCCGCGUGCAGGAAGACGGCCCUAUGGGUUGUAAACUGCUUUUAUACGGGAGCAAUAAGGUCUAUGCAUAGAUUGAUGAGAGUACCGUAUGAAUAAGCAUCGGCUAACUCCGUGCCAGCAGCCGCGGUAAUACGGAGGAUGCGAGCGUUAUCCGGAUUUAUUGGGUUUAAAGGGUGCGUAGGCGGCUUUGUAAGUCAGCGGUGAAAUUUUGCAGCUUAACUGUAAAAGCGCCGUUGAUACUGUGAAGCUAGGAUUUGGUUGCUGUGGGCGGAAUGUGUGGUGUAGCGGUGAAAUGCAUAGAGAUCACACAGAAUAUCGAUUGCGAAGGCAGCUCACAAAGCCAAUAUUGACGCUGAGGCACGAAAGUGUGGGGAUCAAA